rnacentral:rRNA from 1 species
CCUACGGUAGGCAGCAGUGGGGAAUAUUGCACAAUGGGGGAAACCCUGAUGCAGCGACGCCGCGUGAGUGAAGAAGUAAUUCGGUAUGUAAAGCUCUAUCAGCAGGGAAGAAAAUGACGGUACCUGAGUAAGAAGCCCCGGCUAACUACGUGCCAGCAGCCGCGGUAAUACGUAGGAGGCAAGCGUUAUCCGGAUUUACUGGGUGUAAAGGGUGCGUAGGCGGCAGUGCAAGUCUGGGGUGAAAGGCGGGGGCUCAACCCCCGGACUGCUCUGGAAACUGGACGGCUGGAGUGCAGUAGAGGUAAGUGGAAUGCGUGGUGUAGCGGUGAAAUGCGUAGAUAUUACGCGGAACACCAGUUGCGAAGGCAGCUUAC